UACAGAGGGGGCAAGCGUUGUUCGGAAUUACUGGGCGUAAAGGGCGCGUAGGCGGCCCGCUAAGUCGAACGUGAAAUCCCCGAGCUCAACUCGGGAACUGCGUCCGAUACUGGCGGGCUUGAGUCCGGGAGAGGGAUGCGGAAUUCCAGGUGUAGCGGUGAAAUGCGUAGAUAUCUGGAGGAACACCGGUGGCGAAGGCGGCAUCCUGGACCGGCAUUGACGCUGAGGCGCGAAAGCUAGGGGAGCAAACGGG
rnacentral:rRNA from 1 species